rnacentral:tRNA from 1 species
GCCGGAGUGGCGUAAUGGUAGUCGCACACGACUCAAAAUCGUGUAUCCGUAAGGGUGUGGGAGUUCGAGUCUCCCCUCCGGCA